GUCUUAAAAUCAGAAACAAAUUUGCAAGACUUGAGUUCGAAAGUUGCAUACUAGCUAGAUGUUACUUAUAGAUUAGAUUUUUCAAAACUUAAAUUCCAAAAUCAUUAUUUCUUUUAUUUUAUUUACGGUUGGCUGCUCAAGUUUGCCGUCGCCAUGCACCGCAUUGUACACGUGACUUGGCCUCAGCGGCUCUUUGCUGCCGAUUGCAGGUUGUGGCCGCCGCUGCGGUGGAGCUGCAAAUUCUGGUCCAUUUAAUUUGGAACCUUUCGUUGCAGAUUCCCUUGCGUAAUUGUGCCGACGUUGAUGUUAAUGACUAAUGAAGAGUCUUGUGAUGGAUGCUUCAACAUGUCAAAAUGUGGGUGUUGUACCAAAUAAAAUGAAGAGGAGGAUUAUUUGAUAAAAACGAUAAGGAUAUGGAGAAAUAGGAUUGGGCGUCGCUCACGGACCUCUCAUUGGGCUUGGAUAAGAUAAGAGUGCCCCACUUUCAAAAUUAUCACCCCCCAUUUCCUGCUCUUACGUUGUAAACUUUAUAAUACUAAUCAAUUCAUAUUUCAUUUUUGGAUAUUA